CGCCUGCGCAUCGAUUUUCAUCCAGAUGAAAGUAGAAUGAAUCUUCAAACAAAAUAAAGCUCUGACUCCGGACCGACAGGAGCAGUCAAAAAUAUUGAAUUGCUCACCCAAGUCAAAAGACGUUUAUGAUAAAGAACUGAAACAUCUUAGUAACUCCCUAAAAAAUCUAAAUUCGAAAGUAAUGGCGAAUGAAAUCGAAGGGUCUCAACAAAAAAGAAUGAAUUUUACAUAAGACCAAAAGCAGAGCAUUUAUAGCGAUAGUACCGUGAGGGAAAUUUAACAAUGAAGAUCGAAGCCAUGACAAUCAUUUACCUUUUGUAUAAUGGACUUACAAGAAAAAGAAUUGGCAAGUUUAAAGACUAAGAGAAACCGAAAUAGUCAAUUUUACCCGAAACCAAGUGAUCUAAUUAUGAGCUGUUUUAUGAACGAACCUGUGACUGUGGAAACAUUCUUGGAAGACUUGUAAUUAGCAGUGAAAAGCUAAUCGAACUUGGAUAUAGCUGGUUAUUUACGAAAAUUAUAUAAGUAAUGGGCUCCCAUCGAAGUCUGAGACAACUAGUGAUAAGAUUAGUCGUCAAGAAAGAAAAAACUUCUACUAGAAACGAAAGUAUACCAUUCUUAAUCAACAAAACAAAAAAUAAUAAAGACGAUAAGAAAAUAAGCUUGGAAACAGCUACUUUUAAAAGAAAACGUAAUAGUUCACUUAUCGAAUUUUCUUUUUGAUGAAUCAAAUUCUCUUAAGAAACUGAAGUUCUAGUAAAAACAAGUAGUAAAUCAUAGUGUCUCUACCAAGAAAUUCAACACUAGCGAUAAUGUAAGUAUGAUUAAUCUCAAUUUAUCUCUACGAUUUCUUAUUUUAAUAAUGAGUAAGGUAAUCCAGGUUCUCAGGCUCCCAAGGAAAAGCAUUACUUCUUCGCAAGAAAAACUAAUGCGCACGACUGUAUUUAUCUGACCCAAGUAGAGAGAAGAAAGACGGCAAUUAUUUUCAAGGAACUCGGCAAACUGGAGAUCGACUGUUUACCAAAAACAUAGCCCUUGGUUUAACUCAAAGGUGCAGCCUGCCCUAUGGUCUUCGACGCGUUUUGUGACUAAAACCUAAACAGAGACUAAAUGGCCGCGGUAACUCUGACCGUGAUAAUGUAGCGAAAUCAAUCGUCGUUUAAUUGACGACCCGUAUGAAAGGUUAAACGAAUCUCCCCCUGUCUCGAAAAUAAACCCCAUCGAAAUUGUAUGAGCAGUGAAGAUACUGCUAUCAGAUUGCUAGACGAAAAGACCCUAUAGAGCUUAACUAUAUUCUCGACCCACAACUUACCCUAUGAAGAUAGGAGUGCAUCGAGAGUGGUAGUUUGGUUGGGGCGACCUUCUUCUAUAACAAACGAAGAUAGACAAAGGCACAUCGAUUUUAAAUCGCUUAAUUGUUUAAUCCAUAAAUUUGACUAAUACUAACGUAGGUAAAAAUGACCCGUUCUCCUCAAAAAAUAGAGAGAACGAUCAAUAAAUAAAAGCUACCUUAGGGAUAACAGCGUAAUCUUGUUCAAGAGUCCUUAUCGACGACAAGGUUUGCGACCUCGAUGUUGAAUUACGAUAACCUGAAGGUGUAGCCGCUUUCAAGGGUCGGUCUGUUCGACCGUUAAAAUCGUACAUGAUUUGAGUUCAUUCCCCCGCAAGGCAGGAAGGUUUCUAUCUACAAUCAAGAACCCCUAGACGAAACUUCUAGUACGAAAGGACCGAAGUGUUCAUAUCCUCUACCAUGAUUUCAAGUUAAAAUUUGAACGCCACUAACAUUGAAACUCUCUAGGUUCCUCUACUUCAUCCAA
rnacentral:rRNA from 1 species